AGAGUUUGAUCCUGGCUCAGGAUGAACGCUAGCGGCAGGCCUAAUACAUGCAAGUCGAACGGUAACAUGAGAGCUUGCUCUUGAUGACGAGUGGCGCACGGGUGCGUAACGCGUAUGCAACCUACCCUUUACUGGGGGAUAGCCCGGAGAAAUCCGGAUUAAUACCCCAUGGUACUGUAAUGUAGCAUUACAUAGCAGUUAAAGAUUUAUUGGUAAAGGAUGGGCAUGCGUGACAUUAGUUAGUUGGUAAGGUAACGGCUUACCAAGACGAUGAUGUCUAGGGGUUCUGAGAGGAAGGUCCCCCACACUGGUACUGAGACACGGACCAGACUCCUACGGGAGGCAGCAGUAGGGAAUAUUGGUCAAUGGACGCAAGUCUGAACCAGCCAUGCCGCGUGCAGGAUGACAGCUUUCUGAGUUGUAAACUGCUUUUAUAUAGGAACAAAUAGGCCAUGCGUGGCAAGUUGCGUGUACUAUAUGAAUAAGCACCGGCUAACUCCGUGCCAGCAGCCGCGGUAAUACGGAGGGUGCAAGCGUUAAUCGGAAUUACUGGGCGUAAAGGGUACGUAGGCGGUUAGAUAAGUUGGAUGUGAAAGCCCUGGGCUCAACCUAGGAACUGCAUUCAAAACUGUCUAACUAGAGUGUAUAAGAGGUUAGCGGAAUUCCAGGUGUAGCAGUGAAAUGCGUAGAUAUCUGGAGGAACAUCAGUGGCGAAGGCGGCUAACUGGUAUAACACUGACGCUGAGGUACGAAAGCGUGGGGAGCGAACGGGAUUAGAUACCCCGGUAGUCCACGCCCUAAACGAUGAGAACUAGCUGUUGGUUGCGUAAAUGCAGUCAGUAGCGAAGCUAACGCGUUAAGUUCUCCGCCUGGGGAGUACGACCGCAAGGUUGAAACUCAAAGGAAUUGACGGGGGCCCGCACAAGCGGUGGAGCAUGUGGUUUAAUUCGAUGCAACGCGAAGAACCUUACCAUCCCUUGACAUCCUCAGAAUUUGUCGUAAUGACUUAGUGCCUUCGGGAACUGAGAGACAGGUGCUGCACGGCUGUCGUCAGCUCGUGUCGUGAGAUGUUGGGUUAAGUCCCGCAACGAGCGCAACCCCUAUCCUUAUUUGCCAGCACGUAAUGGUGGGAACUCUAGGGAGACUGCCGGUGAUAAGCCGGAGGAAGGUGGGGACGACGUCAAGUCAUCAUGGCCCUUACGGGAUGGGCUACACACGUGCUACAAUGGUGCAUACAGAGGGUUGCCAACCAGCGAUGGGGAGCCAAUCCCAGAAAGUGCAUCUUAGUCCGGAUCGCAGUCUGCAACUCGACUGCGUGAAGUUGGAAUCGCUAGUAAUCGCGAAUCAGCAACGUCGCGGUGAAUACGUUCCCGGGCCUUGUACACACCGCCCGUCACACCAUGGGAGUGGGUUGCACCAGAAGUAGCUAGACUAACCUUCGGGAGGUCGGUUACCACGGUGUGGUUCAUGACUGGGGUGAAGUCGUAACAAGGUAGCC
rnacentral:rRNA from 1 species